UUCCGGUUGAUCCUGCCGGACCUGAUUGCUAUCGGAUUGGUACUAAGCCAUGCGAGUAAGUGUAGCAAUACACUGCAGACGGCUCAGUAACACGUGGUCAAGCUAACCUAUGGACGUGGAUAACCUCGGGAAACUGAGAAUAAACCGCGAUAGAUCAUGAUGCCUGGAAUGGCUCAUGGUCGAAAUAGUUUACUGCCGUAGGAUGCGACUGCGGCCUAUCAGUUUGUUGGUGAGGUAAUGGCCCACCAAGACUAUUACAGGUACGGGCUCUGAGAGGAGAAGCCCGGAGAUGGGUACUGAGACACGGACCCAGGCCCUAUGGGGCGCAGCAGGCGAGAAACCUUAGCAAUGUGCGAAAGCACGACUGGGUUAGUCCGAGUGAUUCCUGCUAAAGGAAUCUUUUGCCGGUCCUAAAAGCACCGGUGAAUAAGGGGUGGGCAAGUCUGGUGUCAGCCGCCGCGGUAAUACCAGCACCUCGAGUGAUCAGGACGUUUAUUGGGCCUAAAGCAUCCGUAGCUGGCUUUGCAAGUCUCCGGUUAAAUCAACCUGCUCAACAGAUUGGCCGCUGGAGAUACUACAAGGCUAGGGAGUGGGAGAGGCAGACGGUAUUCGGGGGGUAGGGGUAAAAUCCUCUGAUCCUCUGAGGACCACCAGUGGCGAAGGCGGUCUGCCAGAACACGUUCGACAGUGAGGGAUGAAAGCUGGGGGAGCAAACCGGAUUAGAUACCCGGGUAGUCCCAGCUGUAAACGAUGCAAACUCGGUGAAGCAUUGGCUUAAUGCUAAUGCUGUGCCGCAGGGAAGCCGUUAAGUUUGCCGCCUGGGAAGUACGGUCGCAAGAUUGAAACUUAAAGGAAUUGGCGGGGGAGCACCACAAGGGUGAAGCCUGCGGUUCAAUUGGAUUCAACGCCGGA
rnacentral:rRNA from 1 species